AUGAAUGCUUGCAGAAGGAUACAUUCUCUCCGUGCUCACAGACAGAAACCUAAUGGAAACAGAAGUGAGAACUGGAACAGCACCUCUGGGUUCAAGCACCAGUAUGGAGAUGAUCUUGUUACAGUCCACACCCUUUACACAGUGAUCAUCAUGAUCCUUCUAGGGGCACUCUGGGGAGCCUGGUCAAGAAAGGAUUCAUCCUUAUAGCAGCAAUAUAGGAACUUUCUUUGUCAAUAUUUAAAGAAAUGUUUGUGUCAAUUAUCCAUACUCAAGAGGUACAAAAAAUGGUCUCAGCGUAUUUCUUGAAACUGCUUAAGUGCUUGCUGCUUGUGGAAGUGAAUCUAUGAAGCAAUUUAACAAGCCAUGUACAGAACAUCAUUUUGUGAAUAACAGAGACCUCUUUGACCUGUACACAUUUAUAUUACCCUCAGCAUGUAUAUGAAACUUUAAGCAUGAUAUUCUAGAAAGAAGAGUUCAACUUCUGUUUUAUUGGUCAAUAUUUUGUACAUCCACCCCAACUUUCCAUUUGUGAACUUUAUGAGUCUCUACCUCUGCUAAAUUUGCCUGUCCCAAUCCAUGGUAAAACAUACACUGUAAGCAGGGAAAUAAUCUGCUGUGUCACAACAACAUAGGAAAAAAUAAUCAACAAACCCAGGUAUUAUGCUGGCAAAGGAAAAUACUGAAAAAGUCAAAUUCUCUUCUCCAUUGCUGAAUAGUUUAUAUGGGAUUUGCAUCCAUUAUCUUUAACUUAUGGUAAUGACUUCGUAAAUUCAGGAAUAAAAUUAUGGAAAAAGCUGCUUUUGUGAAUCUUUUGUCACAGAACCAGCUGGCUCAGUCUUCACCGUGUAUAUAUUUAUCUGCAACCACCACUUGCUUUUCCAUAAUUCACUAACAUCUCAUGGCAGCACCAGCUCCUACGUACACCAGCCCAUCACUGAUGGAGGCAUUCCAUACUCCCACAUUUUCAAGGAAGUAAUCCCACUCAGACAACCUGCAAGCUUUCUGAACAUAGAGCCAUUUGGCAGCUUCUGUUCAACUCUGUUGGUUUGUCUACAGCUGAUGAGCACAUGUUAGUGGACUGGCAGCUCUGAGGGACAGUGACUGUUGGAGACAAUAGGCCAAGCCUUGGGAGCCUAAACUCAGCUUAAACCCCAAAUUUUAGCAUUGCCUAAACUAAUACACAGUAUCCCAAAAAAAAAACCAAACCAAAAAAAAACCCAGAAAAAACCACCACCCCAAAACUCUGCAAGAUAUUUAGACAUUUUACAGACUCAGAUACACAUUUGUAAUUAGGUAGUACUUGCAGACAAAACAAUUCUUAAAAGUAUUGUGUACCCCAUUUUGGUAUCCAUCCAUAAUCAGGAGGGGUAUAUAAACUGAAAUGUCUUUGAGAAGAGCUCCAGGAGUGUUAAGAAAGGUCAGUGUAGCACCAGAGACACCGGUGUCAGCUCUCAGCAGGCAGUGAGGUGGAGUUGCUGUUCCUCCAGCGUUACCCCACCUGCACAGACACCACCUCAGCCUGCUUUAACAUGGGAGCUUUGGUGAUGGUCCCCAGAGAACAGCACACAAAGGAAUACUUAAGAAAACAGAUGACUAGAAAAUUAAAUACAUUGUCAUAGAACAUAGGGACCCAGUCAUAAAACAUGUAGGGUGAACAUUACAAGUGAACACAGAAGGAUGGGCCCUCCCUUGUCAAUAUAUGUUUGAAGGAUAUGAGAUGGGAGAGGGACCUACACAUUCUGACAGCAGCACAAAAACCCCUGGUGAUCAGGGCUGUGGGCCUCAGGGUGCUGGAAGUCAAACACAAAAAUCCAAAUGCACCCCACCAAGGGAAAAAAAAACCUAGAACUAUUGACCACAUAUCAGGAUGUAGCAUUUAAUUGUUAAAUUCUGCAGGAAUAAUCCUGCCUCUGAAGCACUGGAGGUCCAAAUACAGUAUUGAAAAUACAGUUUCCUCUUUCACCUUGUGAUAGAGGAGAUGAGGUAUGAAAGUUUAGAAGAGACUGCUGCAGAACAUUAAAUAUUUUGAAAAACAAUUUUCUUAAAAUUUUGCUUCCCUGGAAAACAGCCUUAGUUGAUUUAACAGUAACAUUAGAGAUCUAAAUUAAGUAAGUUUUAACGUGUUCAGAAAGACAACUGUAUCUUUGCAGGGUGAACAAAAUCUACUUUUAUUACCAGUUUUUGUAAAUAACUCAUUUAACUUGGAUAAUGCAACCACAUCUAGAGAAAACCUGUGGUCUUGCAGGACAUAGUCUUCAACACAAACAGACUCAAAUCAUCUGCCUGCCUGAAUGACACUGGAGACUUCAGCUCCCAAAAUAAUUUCCUGUAAAUCCACCCAUGAAAACACCUCAUUUGGGUCUCACAGUAAAUCACAAUUUAACUUAUGUCAACAGUAACGAGAUACUUAAUGCUUCUACACCAAUGAAAUAGAUGGAGCAGUAGAAACUGGGAACCCAAGUUUGGAACUUGUAUGUCAAAACUUUAUGCAGUCAUCAUUUUAUUACUAUUUCUCCUGUACUAAACAGACUGGACAGAUGUUUUACAUGCGUUCAAAAAAAAGGCAAUGGUUUAAGGAAGCCUGUCUGCUGUUAUUUUAAACUAACAAAAACAUUGUAGUUCAGCCAGUGAACCUUAAGAUAUAUUCCAUGUACCAACCAGACUGUCAGAAAAGGAAAACAAGUCUCUUAUUUUCCAUGGUCAUUCUCACAUGCUGAUGUGACAGACUUUUGAAGACUCAACUCCUUCCAAGCUCCAUUUUUUACUACUGCAUCACAUUUCCCUUUAGAGAGGAUGAUGCAUUCUGUAAAGCCAUCUUUAAAGCAAGAUGUCAGCACAGCCAUUUGCCCCUAAUCCUUUGAUAAACCUUGUCAUUCCUUAGUACUUUGUAACUGAAUUUGCCAUUGGUCUGGUUGGUAAGAAAAGGACAGUAUUUGUACUACUGUGUUUUAACUAAGGGAAGACUUAAAUCAAAAUGCAAAACUGAAGCUGUACAUUUCUGCAUUAAACACAGAAACACAGACAAAACCAGGUCUAUAUGUCAGUUCACUGGUCUGUUUACCGUAAUCAACUCUUAAGACCUACCUCUCCUUCAAAAUGUAUGUGUAAGAAUGUGAGGCAUUCUCUUCCCAAGAUCUUUUAAUUACACAAAACAUAAUACCUCAGAAAACAUCAGGAAAAAAAAAUGCAGACAGCUAUAGUUUUAUGCAAAUCUUAGAAAAACAAUACAGCAUAAAAAUAACAAACAGUAUGGAUUUCUACCUAAUUAGGACAGUAGUUAAACAGGAUGCUUGCAUGUGAUUAAAUGAUACACAUUCACAGCUGUUGCACCUGGUGACUACUGGAAAUCAAUAGUCCUCCUAGUUCCCUUUGAUGGCCUUUCCCAGCAGUGGUUCAAAACACAAGUUUUACGUCCUUUAAGAAUACUAUGUAAGCUCUAUUGACAAUUUAAGUGGAUACAACCUAUGGUGCAAAUUUGUCUAUGAAUUCUGCACCUGUCACCUGGCUCUGUGAGUUCAGCACCACCAUGCAUAACCCAGUGUUAUGAAGCAAAAGCUCCACUCUUUAUCCUUUAAAGCCAGCAGUGGAUGACAUCAGACUGUCAGGCGCUGACACCACCACAACAUUACCCACACUGACCUUAUUUUUCAUUGUACACAUCUCUGGUGCCCCUGCUCCACACUGCCACUGGCUGGCAUGGCACCCCUCUGCCCCUUCCUGUCCUCAAAGGGUGGGCAGCAACUCUAUCCCAGGAGCACAAAGAGGGAGAUGUUGCUGAUUGUUUAUGGAAAAUUUCCUCUUUCUAAUCCAUCAGAAAUACUUGGGCUGUAAAGAUGCCUUUUCUGGCAAUAGUAUUCUUAAAAGGGUAUCAUCCAUCAGGUUGCCAAACCGAAACAAAUCAGAGCAUG
rnacentral:lncRNA from 1 species